rnacentral:lncRNA from 1 species
GCUUUACGCACAAUAACUUCUAUUUUCCUCACCCUUCUAGGUGUCUGUUAGCCUAAUCUUUCCUGGUUGUGUGACAAGAGCCUGGUUUUUGCUGAACUAAGGAGAAAAUUCUGCAACAAUAAUAUAAAAACUUCCACUUCAGAAGGAGAUGAAGACUUUGGAAAAGUUUCAUGGGGAAGGAUUUGAGGAUCACACCAUCCUCCCUUGUACAUGAAGAAACCUAGAAGCAGAGAAGCCAUCCACUCUCCCCAUGUCAGUCAGCCAGUGAUCCAUGGCAAAGAUGCAGAAGAUGUGACUGGUUUGCCUCAUGCAAUAUCUAUGAAGUCCAGUAAAAUACCAGACCUGUAAUAGAAAUAUGUGUUGAAUUAAUGAAUGAAUGUUAGGAAACUGUAUAUUGUUUAUUUUAUAAAGUGAAUAGAAUUAACAUAGUCUAAUGUCACAUAUUGUAAAAAUUCCUUCAAGUAUCUUUAAGAAAUGGUAUCUAAUCAAAACUCUACUAAUGCUGCUGUCAGCAUUCUGAGGUCCGGGCAGGAUGGAUAAGAUAAUCAAGAUACCUAUCAUUGGAUAAAGAUGGAACUGGGAUAAGCCUGUUAAACUCAUUUUAUUUAAAAACAUCUACACAUUUUGUUUUCUGUCAUAGAUCCUUAGUUAUUUUAUAAAGUGUUCCUCACAGAGUGAUGUUUUCCUUAAAAAUUAAAAUAUAUGUGGAUAUGAAUAUGAAAAUAAAGUAUAUUUUCCUUACCUAGAUUAUAAAAGAGUCAUUUAAGGUCAUUUAAUGCUUCUCUUCGUGGUUGCUCUUGUCUCACACAGUAUUAUCUUUCUCC